rnacentral:lncRNA from 1 species
GAGAACCUGGGGACGCUAGGUUCCGGAACCUGACCUGAGCUGGGGCCUGUGCUUCCAGCGGGUGGUGGGGGGCCUGGUGUGCUGGCAUCAAGUAAGCCGACUACCUCGGCAAAGGCUUAGGGACAAGAGACCAGCAGCCUGAACUGGCUGGGGCAUCCGGAAGGCUUAGAUCUUGUGGCCAAGAGUUCAGACCGUGGCGAAGUGGAGAGUGACAUGCAGUUGGAUGGCGGUGACUGCGUGGUAUGGAAGAAAAUUCAGCUGAAAUUUGCUAGAAAAUGAGUUGUUUUGGAAAGAGACUGUAGAGAAAGGCAAAUGGAAGAAGAAAGCUUCUGUGCCCCCACAGAUACCGACUGAAAAGUGUUAGCAUGAGCAAAAGUUCCUAUCUAAUAUUAUAUGCUUUCCUUUGCUCCCAGGUCCUGCAACCCUGGUUCCAGUCUGGCAAGCAUUGUAGACCUGGCUGCUGAAGACUGACGGGGCCCAGGGUCCGCUGCCCCCACCGCCAUCACCACCUCGGAACCCAGGGUAACGCUGUCAGUCUUUGAGCCUACGAGGAAACCAUUCGGAAGCUCCAGAACCCAGGCCCUAAUCACAACGCCCCUAUCCAGCAGGAAGCAGCCAGAUGAUCAACGACGCCCUUUUUCCUUUUUAUACUAAAGUAAGAAAUAAGAAUGUUAGCCCAAACUGCACUAUUUUGCAGACCCCUACCAUUUUACAAACUGGUCAGAGUGGAAAAUUCCACCAGGGCCUGAGCUGUGAGAAACAUCCUGUCAGGCAGGUCCCAGGCCUAACCCCUGGCUGCACUAAAUUCCUUCAUUAUCAGCAGCCAAACACACCGCCCCCACCCCAUUUUCACAACAAUCCCAGACCUCUCCUGCCCGGGACUGUAACUGGUCCAGCCUGUAAGCGGGAAGGGGGCUCUGGCACUAGCUGGUACCCCCUCUCCGCAGGUCUUUCUCCCAAUAAAUCUGUGUUGCCAUUGA